rnacentral:rRNA from 1 species
CCUACGGGAGGCUGCAGUGGGGAAUAUUGCACAAUGGGCGAAAGCCUGAUGCAGCAACGCCGCGUGAGCGAUGACGGCCUUCGGGUUGUAAAGCUCUGUCCUUAAGGAAGAUAAUGACGGUACGUGAGGAGGAAGCCCCGGCUAAGUACGUGCCAGCAGCCGCGGUAAUACGGUGGGGGCCAGGGUUAUCCGGAAUUACUGGGCGGAAAGGGGGCGUAGGGGGUUGCUUAAGUCGGAGGGGAAAGGCUACGGCUAAAGCGUAGUAAGCAUUUGAAACUGGGGCACUUGAGUGCAGGAGAGGAUGGUGGAAUUCCGAGUGUAGCGGUGAAAUGCGUAGAUAUUAGGAGGAACACCAGUUGCGAAGGCGGCUCUCUGGACUGUAACUGACACUGAGGCACGAAAGCGUGGGGAGCAAACAGGAUUAGAUACCCCAGUAGUC